rnacentral:rRNA from 1 species
UACGUAGGGGGCUAGCGUUGUCCGGAAUCAUUGGGCGUAAAGCGCGCGUAGGCGGCCAGAUAAGUCCGGUGUGAAAGUCACAGGCUCAACCUGUGAAUGCCGCUGGAAACUGUCUGGCUUGAGUCCGGUAGGGGAGACUGGAAUUCCUGGUGUAGCGGUGAAAUGCGCAGAUAUCAGGAGGAACACCGGUGGCGAAGGCGGGUCUCUGGGCCGUAACUGACGCUGAGGAGCGAAAGCGUGGGGAGCGAACAGG